GGAUAUUCCAUGUUAGUUUUGGUGGGAGAAUUGGGCUCCGAUGAUGGCAUGUAGUCUUGGUUUCUGUUGCUUGGGUUCCUGCGCUUGCCUCUCGCCAUCAGAUUAUCUCUAGUGUUACUUUGUUCUGCUAUUUCUGACAGUGGCUAGAGUGUUCUAUAAGCCUGUGUGUCAGGAGUGCUGUAGACCUGUUUUCCUCUCUUUCAGUCAGUUAUGGGGACAGAGUGUUCUGCUUUCGGGCGUGUAGUUUUUCCUCUCUACAGGUCUUCAUCUGUUCCUGUGGGCCUGUGUCUUGAGUUCACCAGGCAGCUUUCUUGCAGCAGAAAAGUUGGUCUUACCUGUGGUCCCGAGGCUCAAGUUUGCUCGCGGGGUGCUGCCCAAGGGCUCUCUGCGGCGGCAGCAACCAGGAAGACCUGUGCCGCCCCUUCCGGGAGCUUUAGUGCACCAGGGUUCCAGAUGGCCUUUGGUGUUUUCCUCUGGCGUCCGAGAUGUAUGUACAGAGAGCAGUCUCUUCUGGUUUCCCAGGCUUGUCUGCCUCUCUGAAGGUUCAGCUCUCCCUCCCACGGGAUUUGGGUGCAGAGAACUGUUUAUCCGGUCUGUUUCCCUCAGGUUCCGGCGGUGUCUCAGGCAGGGGUCCUGCCGCUCCUGGGCCGGCGUUUUCUUGAAUAAGGGCUAAUGCAGGAGGCCCCAGCAAAUGUGUUGUUCUUGCUGUUGUUGUUGUUUUCUUGUUGUUGUUGUUGUUUGGCUUGUAUUGUUUUGUAGACACCGUUUUGAUAAAGAGUGGACAGGCAUGAGGUCAGCUUAGAUCAGAUGAUAAAGGAAUAAGUGGGAUCCAAUGGGGAAUUUAGGAAGGAUUGUAUCAAAUUUAGUAAGUAGUUUUCUCCUCUGUGUCCCUGUGUCUGACAGGAUGAGGUUGGUCCUUUUCCCCAGGUAUACUAAGGGAACUAACUUCUCAACGACUGCCGCUUCUCAAAUGCCAGCACAGCUCAGCAGUGAGGGGACAGAGACACAACUCCAUUCUGCUGACCUUGGCAACUUGACGAGUUCCCUGGGAAUUUUAGGAACUUUGACUAAGAACAAUCCAGGAUUCCCAGCUUCAAUAUUGAAAAGAAUUUUGGGAUUAAACAGUUUAUCAGAAAAGUUGGAGCCUUUUAUUAAAGAUAAUUUUUAUUAUGGACAUAAUCAUGAGGCUUAAGAGAAAGAGACAUGCUCAGAAGAAAGUAAGAUACACAGGAGAUUACAAAUAUGGGUUUGUAAAAGAGAGCAAAAUGUACUGAGGUGUGGGAACAGGCUGCCCAAGGGAGAUGGAGCAAUCAUUGUAUGAGCAUUAGUCAUAUGGUCAAUUUUGGUGGCUCUUGGGUGUCUGCUUCUGCAGAAAAGAAGCUGUUCCUGCAGAGAAAUUUGACUGAGUAAAACUGUAGCCGUGUGGAGACUUUGGGAUGCUGCUGACCCAGAAGCUAAUUCCCUUACCGGAAGGUAGCUUUAGCGUCUUGAAAUCCGAUCCAUUCCUUGCCCACUUCUAUUACUGAAAUGAUAAUUUGUUGACUAAAAAAAGUAAAAACAUUUGGCACCAUUAACUUAGGAGACCCUUGCUUCUGCCAACCGAGAAGUUAAAGAUGUCAUCAGAUAGACUCUUAGGCGUAUAGAAAAGCUUUUCUGUCUGGCUGCAACUACGUUUCUGGUGUACCUACUGAUGUAAUCUAAACUUGCUCUGAUUUAUGACUUUCUUUGUUUUGUAAACCUAUUAAAGUUCAUGAAACUGCUUGUUAACCUGUGCUUCCAGGCCAUAAGCCAAUCAAGAUGGAAAACAGCAACAACAAACCACCCUGUCCUAUUCCCUUAGAGCUGAGGGCUGUGCUGUGUUUUUGUCUCCUUGUUGUUUGGUUUAGUUGCAUAGACAAAGGUUUCAUCUCAAAACGUUGCUAAGAAUCUACUCCACAAACCCCAUAUCUUUCUUCUUGGUAAGAGAGGUAAGUUGUGGUUCCAGAAGGAUAGGAUGGAAUGACAGUCUGGUAAGGGAAGAGCAGGCACUGCUGGGGUGAACAAGGAGCCUAGCUGAAGAGUCUUUCUGUAAAGUGUGGUUUCUGGUGAGAUCCCACAGAACUGCAGAAAGUGGCUAGAAAGGGAGGAAGGCCCUUAGUGAUUGUCUGGAAUUCUUGCUGUGCUGCUAGAGGAAGCUGAAAGGUUCCAACAACAUUCAUGACCCCCAGUUUCUGUGCCUUUCUAUUCUGCCCCAUAACCCACCAAAGCCAAAACACCGUUUAGAUUGUUUGGUGCUUUAGGCCAAAAUGAGACACAGAUUAAUGUGAAAUUCUAAUUUUCAUUACAGAUAUGUUUAAUUUAUGUAGUAAUAUGUGGAGAGCUGCAAUAACAUGCGCCACCACAAGAUGGCGCUGGCUUCCACUGCGCCCCACGAGGAAAGCUUUUUGCCAUUACAAGAUGGCACUGGCCUCUGCCACACCAGCCGACUUCCUUUCAGGAAGUUAACUGUGUGCGCAUGUGCAAGAGUGUCUUCGUGCCAGGUCUUUGCCCACUCCGGGCGUGCCUAUGAGAUCAUGGGGAAGCGACCAAUCAGGUGUGGAUGCGUCACGCUAGGGUGUAUAUAAGCCGCGGCAUGCUUGCGCCCCGGGCCCUCUAUUUAAGAUACAAUAAAAACGUUUUGCUGUAGAAGGAUUUGUGUGUCCGCGCAUGCGUUUCCUGCUGGCGGGACAUUGGGCGCGUGACAUCUGGUGCCGAAACCCGGGAUAAAAUGCCACACCAUCACCAUCGCCGAGGAGGGGCCCUCCGUCCUCGGAGAGAAUCCAAAGCUGCAGGACGCGGGGUCCCUAGAGGCACCGCGAAGUUUGGCUCUUCCGGGACUGAUUCUGCUUAUUUAAUGAUGGACCUUAAUUCCAGACCCUCUUUAGAGUUGAAUAUAGAAGGGAAAACUUUUACAGGAAUUCUAGAUACAGGGGCUGAUAAGAGCAUUAUCUCCUCUAGUUGG
rnacentral:lncRNA from 1 species